rnacentral:rRNA from 1 species
UACGUAGGGGCCAAGCGUUGUCCGGAUUUAUUGGGCGUAAAGAGCGUGUAGGCGGCCAUGUAGGUCCGGUGUGAAAACUCGAGGCUUAACCUCGAGAUGUCAUCGGAAACCAUUUGGCUAGAGUCCGGAAGAGGAGAGUGGAAUUCCUGGUGUAGCGGUGAAAUGCGUAGAUAUCGGGAGGAACACCUGUGGCGAAGGCGGCCCCCUGGUUGGAUACUGACGCUGAUACGCGAAAGCGUGGGGAGCAAACAGG